AUUGAACGCUGGCGGCAUGCCUUACACAUGCAAGUCGAACGGUAACGGGUCCUUCGGGAUGCCGACGAGUGGCGAACGGGUGAGUAAUAUAUCGGAACGUGCCCAGUAGUGGGGGAUAACUGCUCGAAAGAGCAGCUAAUACCGCAUACGACCUGAGGGUGAAAGGGGGGGAUCGCAAGACCUCUCGCUAUUGGAGCGGCCGAUAUCAGAUUAGCUAGUUGGUGGGGUAAAGGCCUACCAAGGCAACGAUCUGUAGUUGGUCUGAGAGGACGACCAGCCACACUGGGACUGAGACACGGCCCAGACUCCUUCGGGAGGCAGCAGUGGGGAAUUUUGGACAAUGGGCGCAAGCCUGAUCCAGCAAUGCCGCGUGCAGGAAGAAGGCCUUCGGGUUGUAAACUGCUUUUGUCAGGGAAGAAAUCUUCUGGGCUAAUACCCCGGGAGGAUGACGGUACCUGAAGAAUAAGCACCGGCUAACUACGUGCCAGCAGCCGCGGUAAUACGUAGGGUGCGAGCGUUAAUCGGAAUUACUGGGCGUAAAGCGUGCGCAGGCGGCUUUGCAAGACAGAUGUGAAAUCCCCGGGCUCAACCUGGGAACUGCAUUUGUGACUGCAAGGCUAGAGUACGGCAGAGGGGGAUGGAAUUCCGCGUGUAGCAGUGAAAUGCGUAGAUAUGCGGAGGAACACCAAUGGCGAAGGCAAUCCCCUGGGCCUGUACUGACGCUCAUGCACGAAAGCGUGGGGAGCAAGCAGGAUUAGAUACCCUGGUAGUCCACGCCCUAAACGAUGUCAACUGGUUGUUGGACGGCUUGCUGUUCAGUAACGAAGCUAACGCGUGAAGUUGACCGCCUGGGGAGUACGGCCGCAAGGUUGAAACUCAAAGGAAUUGACGGGGACCCGCACAAGCGGUGGAUGAUGUGGUUUAAUUCGAUGCAACGCGAAAAACCUUACCUACCCUUGACAUGUCAAGAAUUCUGCAGAGAUGUGGAAGUGCUCGAAAGAGAACUUGAACACAGGUGCUGCAUGGCCGUCGUCAGCUCGUGUCGUGAGAUGUUGGGUUAAGUCCCGCAACGGGCGCAACCCUUGUCAUUAGUUGCUACGCAAGAGCACUCUAAUGAGACUGCCGGUGACAAACCGGAGGAAGGUGGGGAUGACGUCAGGUCCUCAUGGCCCUUAUGGGUAGGGCUACACACGUCAUACACUGGCCGGUACAGAGGGCUGCCAACCCGCGAGGGGGAGCCAAUCCCAGAAAACCGGUCGUAGUCCGGAUCGUAGUCUGCAACUCGACUGCGUGAAGUCGGAAUCGCUAGUAAUCGCGGAUCAGCUUGCCGCGGUGAAUACGUUCCCGGGUCU
rnacentral:rRNA from 1 species